UAGCUUCUCCUCUACUUUUUUCAGAAGCCAGCGCUUCUUCGAUAAGCCAAAGCCGCCAAUGACCUGCUUUUAGAAGCAGGAGAUGGUUUUUGUCACUGUAGCGGUACUUACUGUAGUUUAAUGAACUUUUGGAAAUACUGAUUUCUAUCCUCUCUUCGUUUCAGCAAUUUCACAAUGCCAUGAAACCCUUCUCUUCUGUGUUCAAGUUCGAAGCCUCACAUGCAGUGCCGCUUCAUGACUCUAGUUUGAUCUCUCUCUCUCUCUCUCUGACUGCCUUCUCCUCGCCUCUCAUCCGUGUUCAAAAUCGAAGUCUCAAUCCUUGAUUGCUGGCUGCUUGGCAAUUUGAUUCAGGGUACUUGAGCAUACUUGGGUUGGAUCAACACAGCAAGAGUUGCUGCAUUAGGUGGGGCUAGUAGUACAUCCAAGAGGGGAAGGAUUCAGUGCUUCUUAUCUUAAGAAGGUUGUGUAGGAAGUGAUUUCAAACUGUAGUGGAUAAGUUCUUUCACAACUAUUUUGUACCUUUUGUUAUAAGCCAUUUGACUUGUAGAGGCUGUUGAGAUUUACAACUUACUUGUCUGAUUUUUUUUUUUUUUUCCUCUGUAUUUAUUGUGUCUAACUUUUGAGAUCCAAAGAGAAAUAAAUUUAUUAUGUUCAA